rnacentral:siRNA from 1 species
ACCUUUGUUGUUAUCACCGGUC